rnacentral:rRNA from 1 species
GUGGGGAAUAUUGGACAAUGGGCGCAAGCCUGAUCCAGCAAUGCCGCGUGGGUGAAGAAGGUCUUCGGAUCGUAAAGCCCUUUCGACAGGGACGAUGAUGACGGUACCUGUAGAAGAAGUCCCGGCUAACUUCGUGCCAGCAGCCGCGGUAAUACGAAGGGGGCUAGCGUUACUCGGAAUUACUGGGCGUAAAGGGCGCGUAGGCGGCUCUGUUAGUCAGGCGUGAAAUUCCUGGGCUUAACCUGGGGACUGCGCUUGAUACUGCAGGGCUUGAGGCCGAGAGAGGGUGGUGGAAUUCCCAGUGUAGAGGUGAAAUUCGUAGAUAUUGGGAAGAACACCGGUGGCGAAGGCGACCACCUGGCUCGGUUCUGACGCUGAGGCGCGACAGCGUGGGGAGCAAACAGGAUUAGAUACCCGUGUAGUCC